rnacentral:rRNA from 1 species
UAGUCCACGCCGUAAACGAUGAGUGCUAGUUGUCGGGUUUUUAACUCGGUGACGUAGCUAACGCGUUAAGCACUCCGCCUGGGGAUUACGGUCGCAAGAUUAAAACUCAAAGGAAUUGACGGGGACCCGCACAAGCGGUGGAGCAUGUGGUUUAAUUCGAGGCAACGCGAAGAACCUUACCAGUCCUCGACAUCCUAAUCGCGGGUUACAGAGAUGUAACCCUUCAGUUCGGCUGGAUUAGUGACAGGUGCUGCAUGGUUGUCGUCAGCUCGUGUCGUGAGAUGUUGGGUUAAGUCCCGCAACGAGCGCAACCCUCAUCCUAUUUUGCCAGCACGUAAUGGUGGGAACUAUUAGGAAACUGCCCGUGACAAGCGGGAGGAAGGCGGGGAUGACGUCAAAUCAGCACGGCCCUUAUGGACUGGGCUACACACGUGCUACAAUGGGCGGUACAGAGGGUCGCAAAGCCGCGAGGUGGAGCUAAUCUCAUAAAACUGUUCGUAGUCCGGAUCGCAGUCUGCAAC